CGCUGGCGGCGUGCUUAACACAUGCAAGUCGAACGGGAUCCAUCAAGCUUGCUUGGUGGUGAGAGUGGCGAACGGGUGAGUAAUGCGUGACCGACCUGCCCCAUGCACCGGAAUAGCUCCUGGAAACGGGUGGUAAUGCCGGAUGCUCCAUCACACUGCAUGGUGUGUUGGGAAAGCCUUUGCGGCAUGGGAUGGGGUCGCGUCCUAUCAGCUUGAUGGCGGGGUAACGGCCCACCAUGGCUUCGACGGGUAGCCGGCCUGAGAGGGCGACCGGCCACAUUGGGACUGAGAUACGGCCCAGACUCCUACGGGAGGCAGCAGUGGGGAAUAUUGCACAAUGGGCGCAAGCCUGAUGCAGCGACGCCGCGUGAGGGAUGGAGGCCUUCGGGUUGUAAACCUCUUUUGUUAGGGAGCAAGGCAUUUUGUGUUGAGUGUACCUUUCGAAUAAGCACCGGCUAACUACGUGCCAGCAGCCGCGG
rnacentral:rRNA from 1 species